CAAAUGUUCCCAUGCCCCUUCUGAUUAUGUGAUUGUAGCUUGAUGUGUUGUGCGUUUUCUUCAGCGAGUUAAUUCCGCUUGCUUGUUACUUGUUAAGGUUUCGAGGAUUGGCUGUAGUACAAAUUUAGGAGUAAUUUUUAAGGAUUAUCAUACUGAGGAACUGGGCGGUUAUCCAUCUAGUUGCGUAGGUUUACAAGCAAUCAUAAUCGGUGUACCUUGUGGGGGAAGGUCAGCUCUGUUCAAAAGUUAGCAACUGCUGGUUAAGUCAUGCAAGUCUUGUGCUAAUUUUUGAGCAGCUUAUCAUGAGGUUUUGUUGCUGGUGUUGAUUGACUAGCAGUAAUACAUGACUGCAACUAUGUGAUUUGACUUAGUCAUCAGCCAUCUGCUUUUAUGUAAGAUGGUGUUGUUUGGUGGUUGUACAUGAAUCGAAGUUGCUAGCUAAUCUGAAAUUUUAAACUGAUCAUUGGGUUUGUCUUAUGACAUAUAUCCGAAGUGGUUCCUUGUAUGGAGGAUCACAUAUUGGGGAUUUAUUUAUAUUGAAUAACAUAAUACGUUGAACUCGAAAUGAAUGCUGUAUGCUCACGAGGCUUCGAUGGUCUGGAGUUAUAUUGAAAGGUUCCUGAUGGUUGACAAUGUGCUCAUGAUCCUGAUAAGUUACACGAUAAUUAGACUCAAUUGUGCUUUUAUGCUAAUUUGUUACUACUUCCUAGCUUAACAGGUGUGCUACAAUUUAUGUCAAUUGAUUGGCAUGUAUGCCUUACUUGACCUGGGAAAUUAUGGUAGAUUUUAAUUUUAUUCUCCUUAAGAAGCAGAUAAGAUAAAUUUGCACUUGGCAACAUUUGAGACUUUGUUAGUUAGUCUUUCUCACAGCAACAGUUCUAUAUCCCAGCAAUGAUUUCCAACGUUUUCUA